GUUAUAUGGUCAAGCGACUAAGCGCACACGGUGGAUGCCUUGGCGGUCAGAGGCGAUGAAAGACGUGGCAGCCUGCGAAAAGCGUCGGGGAGCUGGCAACAAGCUUUGAUCCGGCGAUGUCUGAAUGGGGAAACCCACCUCUUCGGAGGUACUGCAUGGUGAAUACAUAGCCAUGCAGGGCGAACGCGGUGAACUGAAAUAUCUAAGUAACCGUAGGAAAAGAAAUCAACCGAGAUUCCCUUAGUAGUGACGAGCGAACGGGGACUAGCCCAAAAGUUGUGCAUGCUUUAGGAAAAUGGACUGGAAAGUCCAGCCGUAGAAGGUGAUAGCCCUGUAUUCGAAAGGGCAUGCAUGAUGAUAAGUGAGUAGGGCGGGGCACGAGAAACCCUGUCUGAACAUGGGGGGACCAUCCUCCAAGGCUAAAUACUCCUGACCGACCGAUAGUGAACCAGUACCGUGAGGGAAAGGCGAAAAGAACCCCGGCGAGGGGAGUGAAAUAGACCCUGAAACCGUGUGCGUACAAGCAGUGGGAGCCCCUUCGUGGGGUGACUGCGUACCUUUUGUAUAAUGGGUCAGCGACUUAUUGUUUGUGGCAAGCUUAACCGUAUAGGGGAGGCGAAGGGAAACCGAGUCUGAAUAGGGCGAAUAGUCGCAGGCAAUAGACCCGAAACCGGGUGAUCUAGCCAUGUCCAGGGUGAAGGUUGAGUAACAUCAACUGGAGGCCCGAACCCACGUCUGUUGCAAAAGACGGGGAUGAGGUGUGGCUAGGAGUGAAAAGCUAAUCGAACCCGGAGAUAGCUGGUUCUCCUCGAAAGCUAUUUAGGUAGCGCCUCGUGUAUCACUGCUGGGGGUAGAGCACUGUUAUGGCUAGGGGGUCAUUGCGACUUACCAAACCAUGGCAAACUCCGAAUACCAGCAAGUGUCAGCACGGGAGACACACGGCGGGUGCUAACGUCCGUCGUGAAAAGGGAAACAACCCAGACCCACAGCUAAGGUCCCAAAUUUACUGCUCAGUGGGAAACGAUGUGGAAAGGCACAGACAGCCAGGAGGUUGGCUUAGAAGCAGCCACCCUUUAAAGAAAGCGUAAUAGCUCACUGGUCGAGUCGGUCUGCGCGGAAGAUUUAACGGGGCUUAAGCAGUAAACCGAAGCUUGGGGUGUGCAUCUUUUGAUGUACGCGGUAGAGGAGCGUUCCGUAGGCCGUUGAAGGCAGAUUGAGAAGUCUGCUGGAGGUAUCGGAAGUGCGAAUGCUGACAUGAGUAACGAUAAUGGGGGUGAAAAGCCUCCACGCCGAAAGCCCAAGGUUUCCUUGCACAACGUUAAUCGGUGCAGGGUGAGUCGGCCCCUAAGGCGAGGCAGAAAUGCGUAGUCGAUGGGAAGCUGGUUAAUAUUCCAGCACCUCGCGUAAGUGCGAUGGGGGGACGGAGAAGGCUAGGUCUACCGGGCGUUGGUUGUCCCGGGGAAAGGAGGUAGGUGGGUCCCUUAGGCAAAUCCGGGGGAUCAUUCAACACCGAGCACUGAUGACGAGCUCUAUUGAGCGAAGUGACUGAUGCCACGCUUCCAGGAAAAGCCUCUAAGCUUCAGCUUACGCAGACCGUACCGCAAACCGACACAGGUGGGCAGGAUGAGAAUUCUAAGGCGCUUGAGAGAACUCGGGUGAAGGAACUAGGCAAAUUGGCACCGUAACUUCGGGAGAAGGUGCACCCCUGAUGGUGGCUCAUGCGAGCUAUAGCUGUCGGGGGUCGCAGUGACCAGGCCGCUGCGACUGUUUAUCAAAAACACAGCACUCUGCAAACACGAAAGUGGACGUAUAGGGUGUGACGCCUGCCCGGUGCCGGAAGGUUAAUUGAUGGGGUCAGCCGCAAGGCGAAGCUCUUGAUCGAAGCCCCGGUAAACGGCGGCCGUAACUAUAACGGUCCUAAGGUAGCGAAAUUCCUUGUCGGGUAAGUUCCGACCUGCACGAAUGGCGUAACGACAGCGGCGCUGUCUCCACCCGAGACUCAGUGAAAUUGAAAUCGCUGUGAAGAUGCAGCGUUCCCGUGGCAAGACGGAAAGACCCCGUGAACCUUUACUAUAGCUUCACACUGAACGUUGAGUUCGUCUGUGUAGGAUAGGUGGGAGGCUUUGAAGUGUGGACGCCAGUCUGCAUGGAGCCAUCCUUGAAAUACCACCCUGUCGUGCUUGACGUUCUAACCUAGGCCCGUUAUCCGGGUCGGGGACCGUGUGUGGUGGGUAGUUUGACUGGGGCGGUCUCCUCCCAAAGAGUAACGGAGGAGCUCGAAGGUACGCUCAGCGCGGUCGGACAUCGCGCACUGUGUGCAAAGGCAUAAGCGUGCUUGACUGCGAGAUCGACGGAUCAAGCAGGUACGAAAGUAGGACUUAGUGAUCCGGUGGUUCUGUAUGGAAGGGCCAUCGCUCAACGGAUAAAAGGUACUCCGGGGAUAACAGGCUGAUACCGCCCAAGAGUUCAUAUCGACGGCGGUGUUUGGCACCUCGAUGUCGGCUCAUCACAUCCUGGGGCUGUAGUCGGUCCCAAGGGUAUGGCUGUUCGCCAUUUAAAGUGGUACGCGAGCUGGGUUCAGAACGUCGUGAGACAGUUCGGUCCCUAUCUGCCAUGGGCGUUGGAGGUUUGAGAGGGGCUGCUCCUAGUACGAGAGGACCGGAGUGGACGAACCCCUGGUGUUCCGGUUAUCACGCCAGUGGUAUUGCCGGGUAGCUACGUUCGGAAACGAUAACCGCUGAAAGCAUCUAAGCGGGAAGCGUGCCUCAAGAUGAGACCUCCCGGGAGCUUGACUCCCCUGAAGGAACGAUCAAGACUAGGUCGUUGAUAGGCUGGGUGUGUAAGUACAGCAAUGUAUUGAGCUAACCAGUACUAAUGAUCCGUGAGGCUUGGCCAUAUAACCUCA
rnacentral:rRNA from 1 species